rnacentral:rRNA from 1 species
UACGUAGGGUGCGAGCGUUGUCCGGAAUUAUUGGGCGUAAAGAGCUCGUAGGCGGUCUGUCGCGUCGGCUGUGAAAUCCCGAGGCUCAACCUCGGGUCUGCAGUCGAUACGGGCAAACUUGAGUGUUGCAGGGGAGACUGGAAUUCCUGGUGUAGCGGUGAAAAUGCGCAGAUAUCAGGAGGAACACCGGUGGCGAAGGCGGGUCUCUGGGCAAACAACUGACGCUGAGGAGCGAAAGCGUGGGGAGCGAACAGG